GGUAAAAUGGCUGAGGUAAAGCAUUGAACUGUAAAUUCAAAGACAGAGGCGAGAAUCUCUUUUUACCA
rnacentral:tRNA from 1 species